ensembl:snRNA U4 U4 spliceosomal RNA
AUCUUUGCGCAGUGGCAAUAUCGUAGUCUAUGAGGUUUAUCUGAGACGCGAUUAUUGCUAGUUGAAAACUUUACCCAAUACCCUGCCUUGCUGACUUGAAAUAGGGUCAGCAAUGGCAAUUUUUGAUAGUCUCUCAGGAGA